rnacentral:rRNA from 1 species
AUUGAACGCUGGCGGCAUGCUUUACACAUGCAAGUCGAACGGUAACAGGCCUUCGGGUGCUGUCGAGUGGCGCACGGGUGCGUAAUGCAUCGGAACGUACCCAGAGGUGGGGGAUAACGCAGCGAAAGCUGUGCUAAUACCGCAUGUGAUCUGAGGAUGAAAGCGGGGGACCGCGCAGCAAUGUUUGGCCUCGCGCCUUUGGAGCGGCCGAUGUCGGAUUAGCUAGUUGGUGGGGUAAAGGCCUACCAAGGCGACGAUCCGUAGCUGGUCUGAGAGGACGACCAGCCACACUGGGACUGAGACACGGCCCAGACUCCUACGGGAGGCAGCAGUGGGGAAUUUUGGACAAUGGGCGCAAGCCUGAUCCAGCAAUGCCGCGUGAGGGAAGAAGGCCUUCGGGUUGUAAACCGCUUUUGGCAGGAACGAAACGGUGUCCGCUAAUACCGGGCGCUAAUGACGGUACCUGCAGAAUAAGCACCGGCUAACUACGUG